rnacentral:rRNA from 1 species
GAUUGAACGCUGGCGGCAUGCUUUACACAUGCAAGUCGAACGGUAACAGGCCGCAAGGUGCUGACGAGUGGCGAACGGGUGAGUAAUGCAUCGGAACGUGCCCAGUCGUGGGGGAUAACUACUCGAAAGAGUAGCUAAUACCGCAUACGAUCUAUGGAUGAAAGCGGGGGACCGUAAGGCCUCGCGCGAUUGGAGCGGCCGAUGUCAGAUUAGGUAGUUGGUGGGGUAAAGGCUCACCAAGCCAACGAUCUGUAGCUGGUCUGAGAGGACAACCAGCCACACUGGGACUGAGACACGGCCCAGACUCCUACGGGAGGCAGCAGUGGGGAAUUUUGGACAAUGGGCGCAAGCCUGAUCCAGCAAUGCCGCGUGCAGGAAGAAGGCCUUCGGGUUGUAAACUGCUUUUGUACGGAACGAAACGGCUCUGGUUAAUACCCGGGGCUAAUGACGGUACCGUAAGAAUAAGCACCGGCUAACUACGUG